rnacentral:rRNA from 1 species
AGAGUUUGAUCCUGGCUCAGGAUGAACGCUAGCUACAGGCUUAACACAUGCAAGUCGAGGGCGAGCAUGGUCUAGCUGCUAAGGCCGAUGGCGACCGGCGCACGGGUGAGUAACGCGUAUCCAACCUGCCUUACACGUCUUGGACAGACCUUCUGAAAGGGAGAUUUAAUACAAGAUGUUAUCAUGAGUAAGCAUUUUCGCAUGAUUAAAGGUUUACCGGUGUAAGAUGGGGAUGCGUUCCAUUAGAUAGUAGGCGGGGUAACGGCCCACCUAGUCUUCGAUGGAUAGGGGUUCUGAGAGGAAGGUCCCCCACAUUGGAACUGAGACACGGUCCAAACUCCUACGGGAGGCAGCA